rnacentral:rRNA from 1 species
UAGGAGCUCCUGCUGCAUGGUGGGGGUUGGAAAGUUUCGGCGGUUGGGGAUGGACUCGCGGCUUAUCAGCUUGUUGGUGGGGUAGUGGCUUACCAAGGCUUCGACGGGUAGCCGGCCUGUGAGGGCGACCGGCCACAUUGGGACUGAGAUACGGCCCAGACUCCUACGGGAGGCAGCAGUGGGGAAUAUUGCACAAUGGGCGCAAGCCUGAUGCAGCGACGCCGCGUGAGGGAUGGAGGCCUUCGGGUUGUAAACCUCCUUUGUUAGGGAGCAAGGCAUUUUUGUGUUGAGUGUACCUUUCGAAUAAGCACCGGCUAACUACGUGCCAGCAGCCGCGGUAAUACGUAGGGUGCAAGCGUUAUCCGGAAUUAUUGGGCGUAAAGGGCUCGUAGGCGGUUCGUCGCGUCCGGUGUGAAAGUCCAUCGCUUAACGGUGGAUCCGCGCCGGGUACGGGCGGGCUUGAGUGCGGUAGGGGAGACUGGAAUUCCCGGUGUAACGGUGGAAUGUGUAGAUAUCGGGAAGAACACCAAUGGCGAAGGCAGGUCUCUGGGCCGUUACUGACGCUGAGGAGCGAAAGCGUGGGGAGCGAACAGGAUUAGAUACCCUGGUAGUCCACGCCGUAAACGGUGGAUGCUGGAUGUGGGGCCCGUUCCACGGAUUCCGUGUCGGAGCUAACGCGUUAAGCAUCCCGCCUGGGGAGUACGGCCGCAAGGCUAAAACUCAAAGAAAUUGACGGGGGCCCGCACAAGCGGCGGAGCAUGCGGAUUAAUUCGAUGCAACGCGAAGAACCUUACCUGGGCUUGACAUGUUCCCGACGACCGUAGGGAUACGGUUUCCCUUCGGGGCGGGUUCACAGGUGGUGCAUGGUCGUCGUCAGCUCGUGUCGUGAGAUGUUGGGUUAAGUCCCGCAACGAGCGCAACCCUCGCCCCGUGUUGCCAGCGGAUUAUGCCGGGAACUCACGGGGGACCGCCGGGGUUAACUCGGAGGAAGGUGGGGAUGACGUCAGAUCAUCAUGCCCCUUACGUCCAGGGCUUCACGCAUGCUACAAUGGCCGGUACAACGGGAUGCGACAGUGCGAGCUGGAGCGGAUCCCUGAAAACCGGUCUCAGUUCGGAUCGCAGUCUGCAACUCGACUGCGUGAAGGCGGAGUCGCUAGUAAUCGCGAAUCAGCAACGU